GACGAACGCUGGCGGCGUGCUUAACACAUGCAAGUCGAACGGAAAGGCCCUGCUUUUGUGGUGUGCUCGAGUGGCGAACGGGUGCGUAACAGGGGAGUAACCUGCCCUUGACUUUGGGAUAACUUCAGGAAACUGGGGCUAAUACCGGAUCGGAGCCCCUGCUGCAUGGUGGGGGUUGGAAAGUCUCGGCGGUUGGGGUUGGACGCGCGGCUUAUCAGCUUGUUGGUGGGGUAGUGGCUUACCAAGGCUUUGAAGGGUACCCGGCCUGAGAGGGUGACCGGCCACAAUGGGACUGAGAUACGGACCAGACUCCUACGGGAGGCAGCAGUGGGGAAUAUUGCACAAUGGGCGGAAGCGUGAUGCAGAAACGCCGCGUGCGGGAUGACGGCCUUCGGGUUGUAAACCGCUUUCGCCUGUGACGAAGCGGGAGUGACGGUAAUGGGUAAAGAAGCACCGGCUAACUACGUG
rnacentral:rRNA from 1 species